rnacentral:rRNA from 1 species
UACAGAGGUCUCAAGCGUUGUUCGGAUUCAUUGGGCGUAAAGGGUGCGUAGGUGGCAUGGUAAGUCGGAUGUGAAAUCCCGGGGCUCAACCCCGGAUCUGCCGUGCCGACUGUCAAACUCGAGGGCUGUAGAGGCAGACGGAAUUCCGGGUGUAGCGGUGGAAUGCGUAGAGAUCCGGAGGAAGACCGGUGGCGAAGGCGGUCUGCUGGGCAGUUUCUGACACUGAGGCGCGACAGCGUGGGGAGCAAACAGG